CACGUAGUUAGCCGGGGCUUUUUCUUAUGGUACCGUCAUUAUCUUCCCAUAUAAAAGAACUUUACGACUCGAAAGCCUUCAUCGUUCACGCGGCGUCGCUGCAUCAGAGUUCCCUCCAUUGUGCAAUAUUCCCCACUGCCUGCCUCCCGUAGGAGUUUGGACCGUUUCUCAGUUCCAAUGUGGCCGUUCACCCUCUCAGGCCCGGCUACCCAUCGUCGCCUUGGUGGGCCGUUACCUCACCAACUAGCCUAAUGGGACGCGAGUCCAUCUUAGACCACCGGAGUUUUGAUCAAUUAGUGCAUGGGCACCUAUGAUUUCAUUUGGUAUUAAGUCCCCGGUUUCCCGAGGCUACUCCCAAUGUCUAAGGCAGGUUACUCACGUGUUACUCACCCGUCCGCCGUCUAACUCCAUCUUACUCUUACCACCCCGAAGGGACUCGUGUACAAGAUUUCAUCGCUCGACUUGCAUGU
rnacentral:rRNA from 1 species